UACGUAGGGUGCAAGCGUUAAUCGGAAUUACUGGGCGUAAAGCGUGCGCAGGCGGUUUUGUAAGUCUGUCGUGAAAGCCCCGGGCUCAACCUGGGAAUUGCAUUUGAGACUGCGUAGCUAGGGUGCGGAAGAGGGAAGCGGAAUUUCCGGUGUAGCGGUGAAAUGCGUAGAUAUCGGAAGGAACACCAGUGGCGAAAGCGGCUUCCUGGUCCAGCACCGACGUCAGGCACGAAAGCGUGGGGAGCAAACAGG
rnacentral:rRNA from 1 species